GGUGAAUAUCAAUUUCCUGCUGUGAUACAUCGAACUGCUCAAAACCAAGAAGCUGACGUUACACAAACAACCACCAAUGACCCCUCGAUGAAGGGAGAAAUAUGUUACACCUAUAUCAACCUAAGCAAUACUCAAAUAGCUACUGACGCUCGGAACAAGGGAAAUGAUGGCUAUUCUGUUGUAUAUGCUUUAGUGAACCAUGAAAGAGACACACCUGCAAACACCGGGGAAUAGUAUACUGACUCAUGUACCAACAUAUUUGCAAAUUUAAGCAAAACAAUAAGAGUUUCAGGUUCAUCACUCAUCUUAUGUACAUCAUCUUCUCAGCUUGUAACCAAGAUUUAGUACAGAAGAAUUAGAGGACUCCUAAUACGUCAGACAACGUUCCACACCUUUAAACAUGCUAGUAAUUGAUAUAGGUUGAUAUCAUAAAGAAAAUAAAAUGAGGUUCAUUGUCUGAGCUCUAAGAGGGGUCCCCUUUUGUUUGUGCAUAAUUUCUAUAUUCUUAAAUUUUCUACUAAGAAGCCCCAAGUGGCCUCAUUUUUUAUGUAUACGAUUUAAUGGAUGGGCAAUAAGGA